rnacentral:rRNA from 1 species
AACGAACGUUGGCGGCGUGGAUUAGGCAUGCAAGUCGUACGGACCUGGGGGCAACUCCAGGUUAGUGGCGAACGGGUGAGUAGCGCGUGGGAAACGUGCCCUCGAGACGGGGAUAACACCUCCAACGGGGUGCUAAUACCGGAUAAGACCACGGGAUCGCAUGGUUCCGCGGUCAAAGGUGGGGACCCGAAAGGGCCUACCGCUUGGGGAUCGUCCCGCGUCCCAUUAGCUAGUUGGUAGGGUAAUGGCCUACCAAGGCGACGAUGGGUAGCUGGUCUGAGAGGAUGGUCAGCCACACUGGGACUGAGAUACGGCCCAGACUCCUACGGGAGGCAGCAGUCGAGAGGCUUCGGCAAUGGGGGAAACCCUGACCGAGCGACGCCGCGUGGGCGAUGAAGGCCGUUAGGUUGUAAAGCCCUGUCGAGCGGGAAGAAACGCGUGAGGGUAAACAAUCCUCACGUCUGACGGUACCGCUAAAGGAAGCUCCGGCCAACUCCGUG